GCCGUGUUGGCGUAGUGGUAGCGCGUCUCACUCGUAUUCUCCUGUUCUGACUACAUGAGAAGGUCACUUGUUCAAUCCAGGUACGCGGCA